GCCUCUUUAGCUCAGUGGUUGAGCACUGGUCUUGUAAACCAGGGGUCGUUAGUUCUAAUCUCACAGGAGGCA